CCGGUCUUGGUUUCCGCUCCAGAUUGAUGUAUCUGCCAGCCUCGCCAUGACCGAGAGUAAUCCUUCAGGUGUGAUCCUCUUCACUGAGGAACCCUGAGCAGUAACAGGUGUGGGCAUUCCCUAGAGACUAAUGUCCAUGUAUAAUACUGCACACAAUC